rnacentral:rRNA from 1 species
GACGAACGCUGGCGGCGUGCUUAACACAUGCAAGUCGAACGGUAAGGCCCUUCGGGGUACACGAGUGGCGAACGGGUGAGUAACACGUGGGUGAUCUGCCCUGCACUUCGGGAUAAGCCUGGGAAACUGGGUCUAAUACCGGAUAGGACCCUGGGAUGCAUGUCCUGGGGUGGAAAGCUUUUGCGGUGUGGGAUGGGGCCGCGGCCUAUCAGCUUGUUGGUGGGGUGAUGGCCGACCAAGGCGACGACGGGUAGCCGGCCUGAGAGGAUGACCGGCCACGCUGGGACUGAGAUACGGCCCAGACUCCUACGGGAGGCAGCAGUGGGGAAUAUUGCACAAUGGGCGCAAGCCUGAUGCAGCGACGCCGCGUGAGGGAUGACGGCCUUCGGGUUGUAAACCUCUUUCAGCACCGACGAAGCGCAAGUGACGGUAGGUGCAGAAGAAGGACCGGCCAACUACGUGCCAGCCGCCGCAGUAA